GGCUCAAUAGAUUAGGAAAUCUUGUAGAGUCUGCAAUAAGCUAAAGACUUGGGUUCGAUUCCCAGUGGGGGCA
rnacentral:tRNA from 1 species